rnacentral:rRNA from 1 species
AGUGAACGCUGGCGGUAGGCCUAACACAUGCAAGUCGAACGGCAGCACAGUAAGAGCUUGCUCUUACGGGUGGCGAGUGGCGGACGGGUGAGGAAUACAUCGGAAUCUACUUUUUCGUGGGGGAUAACGUAGGGAAACUUACGCUAAUACCGCAUACGACCUACGGGUGAAAGCAGGGGAUCUUCGGACCUUGCGCGAUUGAAUGAGCCGAUGUCGGAUUAGCUAGUUGGCGGGGGAAAGGCCCACCAAGGCGACGAUCCGUAGCUGGUGUGAGAGGAUGAUCAGCCACACUGGAACUGGGACACGGUCCAGACUCCUACGGGAGGCAGCAGUGGGGAAUAUUGGACAAUGGGCGCAAGCCUGGUCCAGCCAUACCGCGUGGGUGGAGAAGGCCUUCGGGUUGUAAAGCCGUUUUGUUGGGAAAGAAAAGCAGCAGGUUAAUACCCCGCUGUUCUGACGGUACCCAAAGAAUAAGCACCGGCUAACUUCGUG